rnacentral:lncRNA from 1 species
AACGUCAAGCCCAUUGACUUAAGUUGUAUGACAACUUAAUGAAUAAUGAUUCACAAAGGCCUAAAAGGCCCAAUGAAACCCCAAGGCCGGCCAUAAUGCUUUUGGAGUGGGUUUUGGACUUAUUUACAAGUUUGCCACUCCAAUGAAUUAGGGUAUAAAUAUAACUUUAUAGCCAAAAUUCAUUUAGGGUUUGUUUUGGAGAAAAUUGGAGAGAACAUGUCUCUCCAUUUCUCUCUAAAGAGGCCGGCCCCUUGGAGGGUGUAUCUAGCCAUACUACUACUCCAAGGUCACUCAUUUUCUUCUCCAAUCUCUCCUUGGUGUGGAGACUUAGAGGUUAUCAAUUUUGGGAACUUGGAGAAACCUUUUCAUCCAUCCAAAUCCAUAGAUUUUAGAUGCAAGGAAUGAA